UAGGGAAUCUUCCACAAUGGGCGAAAGCCUGAAUGGAGCAACGCCGCGUGUGUGAUGAAGGCUUUCGGGUCGUAAAGCACUGUUGUAUGGGAAGAACAGCUAGAAUAGGAAAUGAUUUUAGUUUGACGGUACCAUACCAGAAAGGGACGGCUAAAUACGCGCCAG
rnacentral:rRNA from 1 species